GUUCCCCAUAGGUCUAUCGCAGAUUAAGUGUAUAAGCUGUUAAAGGCAGCUAGAAUAAUAGAAUUAAGUAUUUUGAAUUUAAAGUAUCAGCUUUUGCAUAUGCCUUCAUCAUCAUUUAGAUAUCUUAAAUAUUUGUCCGCAAGUUAACACAUUUGUUCUUUUUUGUUUGCUUAUCUAUGUAACUGAUAUAUCUGCAGGUUAAUUAUUUGGUGGUUACAAAUAUCUCUUAAUAUGGGUGACAUUCAGAAUGAUCCUCUUUCAGAAGAGGAAACUACUUGUAGGUUUCUUUUGUAUGAACUUCAGAUAAUUUUGGGAUGAAGUGAGCAAGCCUGAAAUAUUAGGGCCAAGAUGUUACUUGUAGGAGUGGAGCACGUGCUUAAAGGCGCCAAGAAGACAAGGAUACAACCAGAUGAAGCAUGUGUGAGAUGGUGAUAGUGUUAUAGGUUGAGGUUAUGGGAUUUAAUUUCAUUUGUAGUACGAGUAGUAUUUAAUUUAUAUUUUUAAACGGUAGAAAUGGGUAGAAUUAGAUACGUAAAUGAUGAAGUAAUGCAAGAGCAUAUAAGUGAAUAUAUGAGCAUAAUGUGUACUUGUUUUCAACUUCAAUAUGUGUAUUGUGAUUUUAGUAGAGAAAUUAUAUCUUUGUUCUUGAGGCUAGGUA